AAAUUGAAGAGUUUGAUCAUGGCUCAGAUUGAACGCUGGCGGCAGGCCUAACACAUGCAAGUCGAACGGUAACAGGAAGUAGCUUGCUGCUUCGCUGACGAGUGGCGGACGGGUGAGUAAUGUCUGGGAAACUGCCUGAUGGAGGGGGAUAACUACUGGAAACGGUAGCUAAUACCGCAUAACGUCGCAAGACCAAAGAGGGGGACCUUCGGGCCUCUUGCCAUCGGAUGUGCCCAGAUGGGAUUAGCUAGUAGGUGGGGUAAC
rnacentral:rRNA from 1 species